CUACAAGAUGAGCCCAUGCAGGAUUAGCUAGUUGGUGAGGGUAAUAGGCUCACCCAAGGCAACGAUCUUUAGUUGGUCUGAGAGGAUGAUCAGCCACACUGGAACUGAGACACGGUCCAGACUCCUACGGGAGGGCAGCAGUGGGGGAAGUAUUGGACAAUGGGCGGCAAGCCUGAUCCAGCGACGCCGCGUGAGUGAUGAAGGCCUUAGGGUUGUAAAGCUCUUUUAGUGGGGAAGAUAAUGACGGUACCCACAGAAAAAGCCCCGGCUAACUUCGUGC
rnacentral:rRNA from 1 species